rnacentral:rRNA from 1 species
ACGGUAACAGGUCUUCGGAUGCUGACGAGUGGCGAANGGGUCCCCCUUACAUCGGAACGUGCCCAGUAAUGGGGGAUAGCUCGGCCAAAGCCGGAUUAAUACCGCAUACGCCCUGAGGGGGAAAGUGGGGGACCGCAAGGCCUCCCGUUAUUGGAGCGGCCCAUGGCUGAUUAGCUAGUUGGUAGGGUAAAGGCCUACCAAGGCGACCAUCAGUAGCUGGUCUGAGAGGACGAUCAGCCCCACUGGGACUGAGACACCGCCCAGACUCCUACGGGAGGCAGCAGUGGGGAAUUUUGGACAAUGGGGGAAACCCUGAUCCAGCAAUGCCGCGUGUGCGAAGAAGGCCUUCGGGUUGUAAAGCACUUUUGUCAGGGAAGAAAUCCUUUGGGCUAAUACCCUAGGGGGAUGACGGUACCUGAAGAAUAAGCACCGGCUAACUACGUGCCAGCAGCCGCGGUAAUACGUAGGGUGCAAGCGUUAAUCGGAAUUACUGGGCGUAAAGCGUGCGCAGGCGGUUGUGUAAGACAGGUGUGAAAUCCCCGGGCUUAACCUGGGAAUUGCAUUUGUGACUGCACGACUAGAGUGUGUCAGAGGGGGGUGGAAUUCCACGUGUAGCAGUGAAAUGCGUAGAUAUGUGGAGGAACACCAAUGGCGAAGGCCGCCCCCUGGGAUAACACUGACGCUCAUGCACGAAAGCGUGGGGAGCAAACAGGAUUAGAUACCCUGGUAGUCCCCCCCUAAACGAUGUCAACUAGUUGUUGGGGAUUUACUUCCUUGAUAACGUAGCUAACGCGUGAAGUUGACCGCCUGGGGAGUA